UUUCUCCCAUAUUUCUUUUGUGUUUCCUAUCAUGGUAUCAGAGCACAGCUCUGAUCCUCUAUUUUUUUUAGUAUCUUCUUCUUAUCCAAUGGCCUCUUCUCCUUUUUCUGAUUCCCCACCUCCGCUCCUCUCACCUUUACCCAUUCUCACCCCAUCCCCAUCAAACUUUCCGAUAAUAACUUCCUUACCUGGCGCCAGCAAAUUUUGGCCACCGUCUCCGGCUACGGCCUUGAAGGAUUUCUCACAGGCGACAAUGUCGCUCCUUAUCCAGUCGAUGCAUCUUCCUCUCUCCCUAAUCCGGCCUUCUCGACAUGGCAUCGUCAGGACCAGUUGCUCUCUGCCUGGAUUCAAAGCUCACUUUCCGAGAGCGCAAUGAUUCUUGUUGUCGGACUCACGUCCAGCAGGGACAUUUGGCAGGCUAUUGAGGCCAAUUAUGCCAGCCAAUCCAAGGCCAAAGUGAUGCAGCCAACGUGUUUCUCAGGAUGAUCAUAUCCUUCAUAUCCUUGGUGGCCUCGGUCCUGAAUAUGAUCCCGUCGUGGUCACUGUCACAUCCAAAUCCGGUGACUGAUCUGUUCCUGAUGUUACAGCUAUUCUCUUAAGCUUUGAAUCUCGCUUGGAGGCUGCUCGUUCUCCUUCUCUGAAUGUCGACGGCUCUCAGCCCUCUGCCUACGUUGCUUACUCUCCCUCUCCUCGCAGAGAUGGUAGCUCUGGUUCAUCUGCUUCGCCUCGUAAUGAUGGUCGGCCUCCGACCAGUUAUCGCGGUGGUCGAGGUGGUCGUGGUCGUGGUCGCUUCUCCAACAACAGACUGACUUGCCAGGUCUGCCAAAAGCCCGGCCACUCUGCCGACCGUUGCUGGUACCGCUUUGACCAAGGCUUUACUCCUUCUGGUUCUUCUGGUUCAAUUCUUGGCAGACCUCAGUUCGGAACUGCUCCAGCUCCUACUAUGCUGCUGCCACCUUCGGCUAAUCUCAUUCAGUCAAGGCCUCCUCAAGGCUUUCAGCCUCCUCGGCAGCCUGCCCCUGUUCCUCCCUCUGAGUUUAGCUAUGACAACUCAUCUGUCUCCUCUUGGUACCCAGAUUCCGGAGCUACCAACCAUGUCUCCAAUGAUCUGUCCAAUUUGAACAUAGCUACUGAGUAUCAAGGAGGUCUCCCAUCAAGUUCUUCUCAGAGGCACUCUUAAGGAAGGCCUUUAUCACUUCUAUCUCUGCACAAGCCUCCUUCACUACCAAAUAAGCGCAUCAUCAGUGUUCCUGCUGACUGUUCUCCAUCUCAUUCCGCUGGAUCUCCAGCUGUUUAUUCAGCUUCUGUUAUUUCCUCUUUAGACAUUUGGCACAAA